ACGGGUGAGUAACGCGUGGGGAAUCUACCUUUUAGUGGGGAAUAACGAUCCGAAAGGAUUGGUAAUACCGCAUGAGACCGUGGGCUGGGAUGCUUACGGUGAAACCCGGGGACCGCAAGGCCUGGGGCUAGAAGAGGAUCCUGCGUCUGAUUAGCUAGUUGGCGGGGUAACGGCCCACCAAGGCGACGAUCAGUAGCCGGCCUGAGAGGGUGAUCGGCCAUACUGGAACUGAGACACGGUCCAGACUCCUACGGGAGGCAGCAGUGGGGAAUUUUGCGCAAUGGGCGAAAGCCUGACGCAGCAACGCCGCGUGGGUGAUGAAGGUCUUCGGAUUGUAAAACCCUGUCGUCGAGGACGAAGGUGGUCCGGUUAAUAACCGGGUUACUUGACGGUACUCGGAGAGGAAGCCCCGGCUAACUCUGUGCCAGCAGCCGCGGUAAUACAGAGGGGGCAAGCGUUAUUCGGAAUUAUUGGGCGUAAAGGGCGCGUAGGCGGUUUUUUAAGUCGGAUGUGCAAUCCCCGAGCUCAACUUGGGAACUGCAUCCGAGACUGGGAGACUAGAGUACUGGAGAGGUUGGUGGAAUUCCACGUGUAGCGGU
rnacentral:rRNA from 1 species